rnacentral:RNase_P_RNA from 1 species
GGAAGCAACUGGGUAGCCGCGGGGAAGGUCCCUCUUCCCCGAGGAAAGUCCGAGCUCCACAGAGCGGGAUGCUGGGUAACACCCAGUGGGGGUGACCCCAAGGAAAGUGCCACAGAAAACAGACCGCCCCACAUAUGUGGGGUAAGGGUGAAAAGGUGGGGUAAGAGCCCACCAGCUAUCAGGGUGACCUGAUAGGCUUGGUAAACCCCAUCCGGAGCAAGACCGAAUAGGAGGGGUAAAGGGUUGCUCGCCCUUCCCUCGGGUAGGUCGCUUGAGGAGUGGAGCGAUCCACUCCCCAGAUAGAUGGCUACCUAAAACAGAACUCGGCUUACGGGUUGCUUCCGCCU